rnacentral:lncRNA from 14 species
UACACCAAGGAUACCACAAGCCUUUAUUUUCCAGGAACCAUUAGGACUCAUGCCUCUCCCGAUCUUUCUCUUCCAGGUGAAGAGCUGGGCCAGACAGAUAGGUCUGGCUAUUACCAACACUUUCCUACCAAAUAGUCUCUGUCUGAUAAGGAGGAGAGGGUGUUGUCUCCCAGGAGACUUGCCUUUGUUUCUGCAACCAUUUGUGAAACCAGGAGGUUUUUGUUUAGAAAAUUCAAGGAAAGGAAGACUUUUGAGAACAUUUAUGCGUAUGAAGACUCAGAAAAUUACUUGUAAACCAUCAUUUUCUGUAAUUUUACUAUAAAGGAGUAGGGCAUCUCCCCCCUUUUAUCAAAUGAGCUGAAUUUUGCCUUCCAAACUUUACAACAACAUAAUUUUCUCUGUGUCGCUGUCCCCAAGGAACCAUAAUUGAACCAGAUUGAUAAAUGGUAUAUUGAAGUUAUUAAUUGUAAAUGCUUUAAAUGAAGAUGCUAAAACUUUUGUGUUUGGAUAUAUUAAUAUUUUCCAUUAUUAGUUGGGCCCAUAUCUAUUCUCUGUCCAGAAUUUAAUUCCUGAUGGGCAAAAGUGAUAGCCUCUGCCAUUCUGAUUUCUGUAACAAGUUUUAUAUACCUCUUUGUGUUUCAUUAAAUCUCCAACAAGUUACAGUCUAGCUCCAACUACAUCACUUACAAUUUCAUUAAAUUGCUCUUAAAUUCAGCCUUGGUACUUAUUCCAGAAUCCUGCGUAUGUCUUGCUCUCCUCUUCUGAAUUUUCUAAGUCCAAUUUGUAUAUGAAGGAGUAUGCAGAAUGAAAUUGCAAUCACAUUCACAGUGAUUAUAUUUGGAAAGUGUACACUUCAGUGGUUGCAAUGAGGUGGUGGUGCCUGGCUGCAAUGAGAUGCUAACUUGUGAAGAAGACAGUCUCUGGUACUGACUUCAUCCUUCAACAUUUUCAGUGCUUUGAGAGAUUUGUUUGCAGCAUUUUCUGAAGAAAGCAAGUAGGUCCACUUUGAGAGUCUUCAUUAAUGUAAUAUAUGGAAUGAGAAAUUCCCUUGGGAAUGGCAGUAUUGCCUUUGAACUUCAUUUUUAUUUCUGACAGAGCUUUCAUGCUGGUUUUGAACUUCUCUCUAUUUCAGCAUCAUUCCUUCCCAAAACUCUGCUGUCAGUUCCAGGAACCUGACCAUCCCACCUGCUGUCAGUUAGAAUAUAUCAAAUCAGACUUUUUUUUCCUCAGUGAGGAACAGAAGGGCUUAGUGAGAUAAGGAUCGCUUAUCACUCACCUUCCAGGCCAGGAUGAUAAUGGACUAUGCAUGAUUUAGCAAGCCA